GCAUGUCUUCGUGGUGUUACGGUAGUAUUCUCGGCGAGUAUUCGAGAAGUCCAGAGUUCGAGUCACAGCGAGGGCAUUGCACAUUUUUCACGUUCCAGCAUCAAGAAAGCUCUACAAGAACCCAUUAAGGAGGCCGAGUGAUUCGGUAACUUUUAAUCUGACCCUGCAAGAUGCAAUUUGGUGGAACAUCAGCAAGACCCAUGGAAAGAUUUGGUUAUGUAGCAGAUGCUAUCCCAGCUCCGAUGAAAUCAGUCAUCAGAUUGGACGAUAGAUGGAAGGCCUCAAGAAUCAUUUCCUGUUCUGUCCAGCAACAGAAGGUUAUCAUCCGUUCUUAAAUCACAAGCUAAAAAUUUAUUUAAAGGCAUUGAGAAGAAUGUAUUUUGUGACCCCGGUGGAGGCUGGGGAACUGAGAAUCAAGAUCUUCAGGCGUAGAAAAUGCCUGUAACAGUGUAACAGCAAUUUCAACCUAUUACAAAACGCAGGACCCAGCGUAAUGUGAUGAGAAGCCUUACCUCAAGUUCUAUCUGUCUCUUCUACUUUCGUCAACUCCCAUCAGGAUGCAUAUUAGUUAAGUUUUUAUAAGAAAAGAGUUCUUGAAAGUUAGGGAGAGAACUCUGCAAGCAACGCCAACCUUCGUGACAAAUUCCUCAUCUAGUUCCAAGGAUUAUGUUUCAAGGAUGUUCUAAGGAUGUCCAUCUAGUUUCAAGGAUGUAUUUGAGAGUUAUUGAGCUAUGGGAAACUAAACACAUUAUUAUGUGAAUGCAAAAUUUACCAUGAAUAAUCGUCCACUGACUAAUUUAUACCAAGAAGGUGACGAACCGAGUGCAUUGAAACCUUCGAUGCUCUUUCAAAAUCAAGGGAUAAUGAGGUUCCCGGUCUAGAUCACAUUGAGACUAAUGUGGUCCAUUGCCCAAAAGUUAUCGAAACAUUUCCAGGACGUAAUAGUGGCAAUCGUUUCGUAAAAGCAAGAAUAGCUAAAUAAUAGUUAAUUAAGACCUAUACAGAGAUUCUAUCCACUAGAAAUUAACAUCAAGAUCGAUGAGUCUACGGUAGAAAUGAAGCUUUUAAUCUAAUGAUGUCGAGGUUUUGAAAGAAGAAAAAGUUUUGAAGCUGAAGUUAUGGAAAAUGACAAAGAAAAGUUGACAAAUAUGUUCCGAGAAGAACGAUACAAACGAAAGAAAGACUUACCUUUCAAAAUUCUUGAAAAUUUGAGAACUUUUCAAUGUUUUUGGUUUUGAUUAAUGUUUCUAAAUCUCUCAUUUUUCAGUUAUGAACGAGUGAUCGAAAUGCUUAUUUUUAGCCUUUACUUAUACAAAUGUGAGAAUUUAUUAACAAAAGCUCAAAAACAAAAAUGUUCUUUUUAAGCUUUGUAUGUUUUUGCUCGAUGAUGACUUUUUAGAGUGUGCUUUUAUGCUCUUAUUCUCCUAAAACUCUGUAUUACUUGUAAAUAAAUGUUUAUCUUUUAAACAGUCCACAAUA